UUACGAUGUUGAGACCUAGCUCGUAUACAGAGGUGCUAAAACAUCCCAGUUGAUCGAAUACCUUAUCUCGGCCAAACACCAAUGCAUUGCUCGAGUGUAUAGCCAACAGCAACAACCCCAACAACUUAGAAGGAGAUUGCCUGACCUAGUAAGUAGUUACCCCGAUAAACAAACCAAAGUUUCCCUUCUCCUUACUUUACCUCCACCUAUGGGUCAGCCUGCCCGACCUACCCAACCCUGUUAGCAUUGUGGUCACUCACAU
rnacentral:lncRNA from 1 species